rnacentral:tRNA from 1 species
CAGGGAGACAACACAAUGAUUUUGAUGUCUGAGUAUUUUAAUUCUUAGGCCGAAAUCCUGUCACCUUAGGUCGAUCGGUACCUCAAGUUGAGAAUCAAAGAAAAGCUGAGUAAUCAGCUUGGAGAUUGAUGAUUGAUUUUAGUUCCUAAACUUGUCUAGGUCACACCCCGCAAGGGUUACUCCUGGGCCAUUAGCUCAGGUGGUUAGAGCGCACCCCUGAUAAGGGUGAGGUCCCUGGUUCAAGUCCAGGAUGGCCCAUUCGGUGUUGGGGGUUUAGCUCAGUUGGUAGAGCGCCUGCUUUGCAAGCAGGAUGUCAGCGGUUCGAGUCCGCUUACCUCCACUGAUCGACCUCCUUAAUAUCGUAUUCAAAGGAGAUUGACUUGUUUUAAAGUGACUUAGAAAGAAGUUGUUUCGCUGAAUGAACCUAGCUUCUUAUCAUUCCCAAUCUAUAUAAAUAGAAUAGGUUGAUAUGACGCUGGGCUCACUGCAAAUUCUAAUUGCAGAGAUGUUCAGUAGAACCUUGAAAACUGCAUAGGUGAGUCUGGAAAGAAUAAAGCAUCUCAUGGAUGCAUUCUUCUUAUUCAGUUGGAUUUCUAACUGGAAAGAAUAAUGAUUAAUUCUUGAGCAAGAGCAAAAGAUAAUUAGGGUUUGUACCUUAAUUAAAU